AACGAACGCUGGCGGCAUGCCUAACACAUGCAAGUCGAACGAGACCUUCGGGUCUAGUGGCGCACGGGUGCGUAACGCGUGGGAAUCUACCCUUGGGUUCGGAAUAACUCAGAGAAAUUUGAGCUAAUACCGGAUGAUGUCGCAAGACCGAAGAUUUAUCGCCCAAGGAUGAGCCCGCGUAGGAUUAGCUUGUUGGUGAGGUAAAAGCUCACCAAGGCGACGAUCCUUAGCUGGUCUGAGAGGAUGAUCAGCCACACUGGGACUGAGACACGGCCCAGACUCCUACGGGAGGCAGCAGUGGGGAAUAUUGGACAAUGGGCGAAAGCCUGAUCCAGCAAUGCCGCGUGAGUGAUGAAGGCCUUAGGGUUGUAAAGCUCUUUUACCCGGGAUGAUAAUGACAGUACCGGGAGAAUAAGCCCCGGCUAACUCCGUGCCAGCAGCCGCGGUAAU
rnacentral:rRNA from 1 species